AAGAGUGUAGCUCAAUUGGUAUAGUUCCUGUCUUCAAAACCGGCGGUUGGAGAUUCGAGUCCUCUCGCUCCUG
rfam:Trachymyrmex cornetzi contig20155, whole genome shotgun sequence.